ACGCUUCUUUUUCCACCGGAGCUUGCUCCACCGGAAAAAGAGGAGUGGCGAACGGGUGAGUAACACGUGGGUAACCUGCCCAUCAGAAGGGGAUAACACUUGGAAACAGGUGCUAAUACCGUAUAACAAUCGAAACCGCAUGGUUUUGAUUUGAAAGGCGCUUUCGGGUGUCGCUGAUGGAUGGACCCGCGGUGCAUUAGCUAGUUGGUGAGGUAACGGCUCACCAAGGCGACGAUGCAUAGCCGACCUGAGAGGGUGAUCGGCCACAUUGGGACUGAGACACGGCCCAAACUCCUACGGGAGGCAGCAGUAGGGAAUCUUCGGCAAUGGACGAAAGUCUGACCGAGCAACGCCGCGUGAGUGAAGAAGGUUUUCGGAUCGUAAAACUCUGUUGUUAGAGAAGAACAAGGAUGAGAGUAACUGUUCAUCCCUUGACGGUAUCUAACCAGAAAGCCACGGCUAACUACGUGCCAGCAGCCGCGG
rnacentral:rRNA from 1 species